rnacentral:rRNA from 1 species
GACGAACGCUGGCGGCGUGCUUAACACAUGCAAGUCGAACGGAAAGGCCCUGCUUUUGUGGGGUGCUCGAGUGGCGAACGGGUGAGUAACACGUGAGUAACCUGCCCUUGACUUUGGGAUAACUUCAGGAAACUGGGGCUAAUACCGGAUAGGAGCUCCUGCUGCAUGGUGGGGGUUGGAAAGUUUCGGCGGUUGGGGAUGGACUCGCGGCUUAUCAGCUUGUUGGUGGGGUAGUGGCUUACCAAGGCUUUGACGGGUAGCCGGCCUGAGAGGGUGACCGGCCACAUUGGGACUGAGGUACGGCCCAGACUCCUACGGGGGGCAGCAGUGGGGAAUAUUGCACAAUGGGCGGGAGCCUGAUGCAGCGACGCCGCGUGCGGGAUGACGGCCUUCGGGUUGUAAACCGCUUUCGCCUGUGACGAAGCGUGAGUGACGGUAAUGGGUAAAGAAGCACCGGCUAACUACGUG